GUGGGGAAGGCGCCUGCCACUGUCACU
rnacentral:piRNA from 1 species